GCCGGGCCGCGAGCGCCAGGGCUCUGGCGGCGGCCUCCCUGGGGGAUUUGCCGAGCGCGGCGGGCGGCGCGUAGUGCCCCGGCCGGCCGGCCGCUUCCCGCCUGCCCGGGUCGCCGGCCCCCGUGCCCCCACCCCCCGCCGCCCGGGAACCCAGCUAGCUGCUCUGGCGGCUCAGGGCUGCCUGGGAGCCGAGAGUCUUGUUUGUUGUCGCCCCCGCCCUCUCGGCCCUUCCCGCGUCCCGGAGGCCUGGCACACAUUUCGCAGACACUUCAUUCCUUCCUUCCUCCGAGCUUCCCACUGAGAUAAUGUCAGUGAUUUCAGCAGAUCUUGUCCCGAAUGAGAUUCAGUGGUUCCUGACUUUGGGUGACCUUGGGCAAGCCGUCUCUUUCGUUAUGGAACGCACACUCAUCGCUAGACUCUGUGUUAAACCCUGGGAUUACCACGAUGAGAGAUACAGUGGCAGCCUGCAAGAAGUUUAUAGACAGCCACUGAUUUUCUGACAGAUGACCAGGCAUUUCUCUAUUUUACCUUUCUGUUAGGGUACUUUAGAUGAUGGCUGGACGAUUGGGAAGUCCUAAACAAAAUGUGAAACAUCAUCUGUGUGGACAGCAGUAUUGUUGGUCCAUCUGGGGUUACAGGAAGCCCUCAGCCUAAAGAUACAUAUACUCAUGAGUACAUCUAGGGAUUUCCCAGGAGAUUCCUCCAGGCGGUCCUAGGUUAAAGAGAGAUGGAUGUCUAGAUAGAGGUAUGAUGCUAUGGAAAUUACUUGUAUGUUGGGGUGCCUUGGAAACUUCCUGGCGGACGUGGCCUGUAUGUCUUAAAAAUAGAUAGGAUUGGCAAUGUGCUGAGUCAUGGGCUGGGACAGACAGAAUUACCCAUGGCAUUGACGACCAAGACUCUGGAACCUAAGGUCUUUAUUUAAGGGACAUGCUCUAGAGCCCAUACUAAGUGAAGGGGCUGGAGGAGGAAGCUUGAAACCCUGUCUUGAGCCCCUUAAACAUCUUGCUAAAAGACUUUGGACCUUAUCUUUAGACAAUGGAGAGCCACAAAAUGUUCUUAAGUAGAGAAGGGACAUCAGGGUUCCCCUUUAGAAAGAUAGCUCUGGCAAAACUGUGGAGACUGGAUUGCAGGGUUUGGAGGCAGAGAGGUCAGUCAGGAGGCCCAAACUAGUAAAGAAGGCUCCUAGGUGACAGGUGCAAGGUGACACCCACCUUCUCAGGUCCAGCUCACUUGGGGGUUGACUACCCAUUGUCCAGUGACCCAAAUUCAACAGAAACCUGCCUACACUUUAAUGCACUGUUCCUUGUUCCCCCACCACUCCACUUGGGUUUUAACUAAAAAAUAAUCAUGGGUCUUCCCAUAUUAACCGCCUAAGCCUCAUUUCUGCCUUCCAGGAGAGCCCUCAUCUGCAGACAAAAAAUUUACUUCAUUGCAGGUUUGAUUCACUUUUGCCGGUUGGGCUACUCUGGGAUUGUGUGUGUGUGUUUUCUUAACACACUGCAGAGUGGGCUGUGCCCUGUCAUGUUCUGAAGAAAUGAUAAACAGUGCUUCCUUUGUUGACCUGCAACCUGGGCAUUAUGAGAUUCCCUCCAGCCUGCCAGAGACGUGGUUGCUGCAUUGCCAAGAGCUAUCCUGGGAGGGCUAUUGAAAGAGCCUUGAUCCUUUCAGAGACCGUGAGAAAAUAAAGCCCAAGAUAGAAGAGACAUGUUUGCUGUCUCUCCAAGGCAGCCGCCAGCUUCCUGCAGUCCAGGAGAAGGUCCACAGCUUUCAGCAGAAUUACAAAACUUUUGGAGACUAGAAAUGGUUAAAGCAAGCUGAUCGAGUCAAUCUGCACUUACUGUAAUCCAGAGAGGAAGGGGGAAGUCUGCCUUAAAGUGGAGCUGACAGCAAAGGAGGGUAGAGUCAAGAGAUGAAGGCACCUGACAGGCCUCAGAAAGGGGAUUCAAAGGGAACACCAGGAGCCCAUCCAGAAGUAGUGCAUUUAGAGGCCGUGUCUCUUCGGUGUUCUGCACUUGAUGACAAUCCUGAAGUCUUUCCUCACCUCUCAUGACACCUGUAAGAGGAUUAGUCAGCUGUUUUGUAGAAAGCCCUUUCACAUAGGUUUGUGUGAUGUUUCCUCAUGUUUGUAGAGAGCAGAUGCAUUCCUGGGAAGGACACCACAGAGAGGCAUCACAUUGGGGGUGCGCGAUGCCACUUUAUUUCACUGUUGACAUUAACCAUGGUCAUUUGGUGAAGGUGAUUUCUGUCAGGAUAGUUCACUGUAAAGUUAUAAUUUUUCCCUUUGUACUUCCUAAAUAUUUGUAUCAGGUGGUGGCAGGGGGAGGUAGGAGAGUAGACUAUGCAAAUCGGCUGUUUCUGCUUAUAUGUCUGACUAUCAAAUUUAGAAUCCAUCAGAGGAUUUUGCCUGUGGCAGUUACGACUGUGGUGAUCUAAUGGCCAGGAUGGAAGGACCACUGUGGAAUAGGACACCGCCCAGAUUGUUCAGAAGGCUACGUCAGGGUUCCAAAAUAAGGAAGCAGAAGAAUGGAAGCAGAGUUUGAAAGCUUAAUUGCAGUUGCCGUAUCACUGGGCUGGAAAAGACCCAGAAAGUCAUUGAGUCCCCUCCCCUGCCAUCCAGGAAUGAGAAGGACAGUGCCUGCCCCCACCUAGGGCUGGAUAUGAGUGAUGCUUCCUGCCAGGAAAUGCAGUGUGGGGACAGAGAGGAGGCUGCAGGAAAGGAGUUGGUCUGGGGAGACCAGAGAGCGUGAAACUAUCUUCUCGUCCACUUUACCCAUGAGAUGGUACCGAAAACUUUGGACUGGAAAUAAAAGAAGGACCCAAGUUCUAGUCCCUGCCUCUGCCAUAGACUCAUUAUACAUGGCCUUGGAGAAGGUGUGUGUUCACUGCCACCUCCUUGGGGUCAGCUUCUAGGGAGUCUAGGCUUUCAGGCCAUGCCCAGAGGAGUUUCCUCCCUAGGAGCAUGGGACUCGGCCUGGAAGUGGUGCUGAGAAGGAGGGCCUUUUGUAAACUCUUCAUCCUUCUACCAGAAUGGUUCUGCUUUCACUUGUUCACACAUUACAUAGCCGCGUAAGAAUGUGGUCAGAGAAAGGGUUCCAUUGAUUUUUGUUUAAGUUUGAAAAUCACCAACUAAAAUUCUCUCAAAAACCCUGCCCAGCUUGAAAAUCUUUCCUUAUGCCUUCUUCAUAGUGUUUGGACUUUGUCUCCUUGGCCAGGUAGCACGUUGUUCUUUAAUCAUUUGUGUUUGUUUUUUUCUUCCGAAAGGUUUCCUACAGCCCAAUUCCACAAAUGAGUAUGUGGGACCUAUUACAGAGGCUGCCUGGGACAAGGUACCUGGUGGCCCUCAAACUGCUCAUACUUUAGUAGUGUGGGCUGCAGACAGGUGGACAAAGAAUGAUGGAACUGCAUAGUGUUUUACUUUGAAUAUUCUUUACCAAUCACAGAGACCUUGCCUCAUCCCUCUCACCCAAAGCCAGCAUAACUAGGACACUUAAUAGAUGCUUAGUUAAUAUUCGCUGAAAGAAUUGAUGCAUGAAUGGCUUGUUUCUCUCUUUGGGAGGAAUCACUGAUACAUAAGUAGCUUUGCUGAUGCUGACAGGUGCAGGUAGAGGCUGCGAGCUCUGUAUUUUCCUUUUAUGAGCAGGUCUGGUCAUAGCUGCUGGGUAUUGUCACCUGUUACAGGUUACGUUAUGUCCCCCGAAAAGAUAUUCAUUCUUCAGACUCAGAACCUCAGAAUGUGACCUUAUUUGGAAAUAAGGUCAUUGCAGAUGUAGGUAAUUAAAUGAGGUCCUAAUGGAAUAGGAUAGGCUCUUAAUCCAGUAUGACCUGGGUCAUUUAAAUAGGAGAAGAGACAGAGAUCCAGACCCUGAGGGAACAAUGCCAUGUGCUGAUGGAGUCAGAAACUGGAGUGAUGUAGCUGCUGCUGGCCAAGGAAUGCCAAGGAUUGCUGGCAACCCUCAGGAACUAGGGAGAGGCAAGGAAGGAGACUCCUCUGCAAGUUUCAGAGGGAGAGUGGCCCUGCUGACACCUUGAUUUUAGUCUCCAGAACUGUGAGACAAUACAUUUUUGUUGUUUUAAGUCACCCGGUUUGUAGCACUUUGAUAUGGCAGCCCUAGGAAGACAAUACCUCACUCUAUAAUCAAAUAUGAUGCUUACAAAGAAAAUCUGUAACCUCUCUUUUCUUUAACCCCUAUGAAAUAGUCAAAGGAAAAUAUGCUUGCCAUGAAUUUACAUUUCUGAAGCAUUAAUUAUAGUCUCAUUAAAAUAUUUCAUGUUUUUGAAGCUGUAAAAUCUUUGUGUGUUGGGUCCUAGGAGUAGUACAUAUUGGGUGGCAAGAUAAACCAAUCAAGAAAUAAACAACUUCCUGCCCAAACAGAAAAAAUCUCCACGAAUUCCCUCUUUCCCCUAAUCUUUUUGGAAAUAAAUUUGCUGAGAAUUGGCUGUUUCAUUUGACUUGAAAGUUUGAACACUGGUUCAGUCUGAGGGUGAGUUUCACCUUCCCUGAUUGUGUAGAUUAAAUAGGAUGUAGCAUCAUUUUUCACCUCUGUGAAGAAACCAUGUUACUUGCUUCUGAAUCUUUGCGUUUUUUUCUGUUGACCCAUCUUCCCGGGGACAGCUUUCCAGCCCCGUUUCUUCUUGGGUGCUCUUGGCCAAAGCCACAGUCUGACAGAUGGGAAGGUCGGCCCCUCUCUCUCCAUCUCCAUGGAGAUGCAGGAAUUUUUAGGACCCACCUCUUUUUUGGUUAUUGAAUAACUGGUGGGGCAUCGAGUGUCAGGCCUAAGAGAACAGUAGGGCCUACCUGUUGGGCUGAAUGACCUCAUAGCUGAGCUGUUCCCAUGGUGUUGGCUUGCACUGUCAGCGAUUCUUUCUUCACAAGCCAAACUUAAAUCAUACUAUUCUAAAACCUAACCUGAUCGUUGUCACUGGGUGUACAACACACGAAUGACAGCAGCUUAAGGCUCUGAUUAAGCCUGGGGCAGUCUUGCAUGAGGGGGUAAAAGGUCUUUUAUUUCCUG